AACGUACGCNGGCGGCACGCCUAACACAUGCAAGUCGAACGCAGUAGCAAUACUGAGUGGCGAACGGGUGAGUAUAAUGUGGGUAUCUGCCUUUUGGUUUGGAAUAACAUGAGGAAACUUGUGCUAAUACCGGAUAAGCCUUCACAGGGAAAGUUUUAUACGCCAAAAGAUGAGCCCGCACUUGAUUAGUUAGUUGGUAAGGUAAUGGCUUACCAAGACUGCGAUCAAUAGCUGAUCUGAGAGGAUGAUCAGCCACAUUGGGACUGAGACACGGCCCAAACUUCUACGGAAGGCAGCAGUGGGGAGUCUUGCACAAUGGGGGAAACCCUGAUGCAGCGAUGCCGCGUGAGUGAAGAAGGCCCUUGGGUUGUAAAGCUCUUUCGUCGGGGAAGAAAAUGACUGUACCCGAAUAAGAAGGUCCGGCUAACUUCGUGCCAGCAGCCGCGGUAAUACGAAGGGACCUAGCGUAGUUCGGAAUUACUGGGCUUAAAGAGCACGUAGGUGGUUAAGAAAGUUGGUGGUGAAAUCCCAAGGCUUAACCUUGGAACUGCCAUCAAAACUUUUUAACUAGAGUAUGAUUGAGGUAAGCGGAAUUUCUAGUGUAGAGGUGAAAUUCGUAGAUAUUAGAAAGAACACCAAUUGCGAAGGCAGCUUUCUGGAUCAUUACUGACACUGAGGUGCGAAAGCAUGGGUAGCGAAGAGGAUUAGAUACCCUCGUAGUCCAUGCUGUAAACGAUGUGUGCUAGACGUUGGGAAUUUAUUUUUCAGUGUCGCAGCAAAAGCGUUNAGCACACCGCC
rnacentral:rRNA from 1 species